ACAUCCGGUACUUGUAUGAUUAAAAGUUGAGGACGUAACAUUACUUUGUAUUCGAUCCAAUUAAGCACAAGUUAAUACAUUUGUCUAUAAUAUUCUACUCCACUGAGAAAACACACCUGCUGCUACGAAAUUUGGGUUAAACCGUUCGCCUGGCAUAUAACAUCAACAAGAAAACGAUACUGAAAGGAUAAUGGCUAUGUAACUGAGACAGGACUGAGACAAGACCUGUAGAUAUCUAGCAAUUCUACACCAGUCCAUUUAUUCUUGUAUCUAGUUUGCGUGACAAAUUUGAAUAUUGGUAAUAUCUAGACCUUAAACAAAUGGCAGUACAGCAGUUCCAAAUCAUCAGGAUGAUACAGAUUCUAAAGUUGACUAGUAAAACUAAAGAAAAAGAUUCCAAAAAAAGAACUUCAAAAUGAUAAACUUUUUCUUAGAUAAAUAAACAGGUCUCCAGGAAUUAAGUACAAAUAAUGUGACAAAAAACUUCAAUAAUUCAAAGGUAAAAUCAGUAAAAAUAUAAACUAAAGAUACUAGUCAAAAAAUCCAAUCUUGCCUACUUAGCCCAUAUAAAUGGCAUCGCCAUCUGGUCGCGGAAGAAAAGUCGUGCACUUUCCCUAACACAAAGUACACCAAGAGGAGAUCACGAGCACCUUGAUUGCAUAUUUUCAUUAUCAUUUUCUUUUUUAGUGUUCCAAAAUUUAAUAGACCUUAUAAAACCAAAACACAAGUAGGAGUCCUAGUAGGUUCAACACGUCCCUUCCAAUCUCGAACAUCGUUACAAACUUAGAACAAUCAAAACAAACAAAUCUAAAUUAAGGUUAAGGGGCAGGCACAGCUAUACAAUAAGCAGCGUGUAAAUCAUAGAUGAUUAAUUCAAUUAACAACUUGGUUCUGGAUAAAUGGAGAUGAACGGGAAGGGGAAAGAAAGGGAAAAGCAAGUGAAGGGUUACCUUCCUCUAUACAGAUAAUAAAAGGGAGAAAAGGAAGAGGAGGAGGUAAUAACAAAUUGGAUUUGGAGGAGACAAAAGGACCAUCACUUUUGACCCCUUCCCCCACCACUGAAGGGCAAGUUAUGCAAUCCUUUCAUUUUCCCUUGGACAUUGCUCAAACCCACUGUUAUCCCUCUGGAAAACAAGAUUAUUUUUUUUUUUUAACGUCAGGGGCCAGGGUAUUUAAAGCAAAGGCCAAAUGAGGUGACAAGGCUUCCUGAAAGGCCAAGGCGGCGAGGUGAGGCGAUGGCUAUGUUGAAGAUACACGAAUGGCUAAGCAUAUUUUUCAUAAUUGACAAAUACUCGGUCAUUCAAUAAUCCAAAAGCAUAAUGAAUCCCAACAUACAAAAAUAAGUAUGCAUAAAAAAACAUAGAAUACCGGGACUAAUUAAUAAAAAAAAAAACUAUCAAAUUCAAGAAAAGCCCUCUUGUAUCACUCAAAUUUCCAUAUCUAUCAAAAACAUAAGCCAACCAAUAAACACUAACAGUUGUAAUUCAAAGCACUAAACAUUUAAUCCUACACUCCCACCAUCCUAAGGUCCAACAUCUCAUCAACACCAAGCACAUGAACUAAAUAUCAGCGAUUAGGUACCAUCUCAAGAAGUCAAUCGCUCCACAAUUUGAUAUUCCACAAACUUAAGAAAUAUUCGUUAUCUCUGAUCUUUUUGUUUAUUACAGACCAAAAAAAGAUGCUGAGAACAAAUCACGAUGUAGAAAACUAAGCUGUAAAGCUUCAAAAUUUUUUCUUUUUCUUUUUAUGACGUGAUUAGAAUGCAUGUGUGAUGUCAUGCAAUAUAUGCUUGUAUAUUAUAUAUAUAUAUAUAGUUUAAUCAUGUUAAAAAUAAGUUUAAAAUUUUAUUUUGAAUUUGAAAGUAAGGUUUGAGAGAGUGAGCCAAUUAAUUGGACCCAAUGUUUGGAUUUUUUUGGGGUUUUGUUCUUGGGCCAAGCAAAGGCCCAAUGGCCAAGGAGGGCAUUUAUGUCAUUUUCUAGCUUUUCUUCCUCUUUUGACUAAACACAUAAUAUAGCAUUUAUUUCUUUUAGGGUCUUCUCCUUCCUUCUCUUCUCUCUCUAGCUUUGAGCCAAAUAGGGUUUUGCCAUUUAUGAGCAUAUCUAGUGAGUUAGAGUAAACUUUGAUAGUUGUCCUUUGAGAGCAUAUCAUCUACUCAAGCGAGGCUACGGCGUUGAGCCAAUAACAUUUAGAUCGGAGGCAAUCGAGAUUUCGAGCCUCACCAUUAUUGUGGCGCUUUGCAUUACUUGGAUUGGAGUUAAGGGGGUUAGUUUGUUGGGUUUUUCAUUGGAUUUGUUGUCACUCAGGUUUGUAUAAAAUCUAUUGGAGACAUUAUUUUGAGUAUGAACUUGACAUGGAAAAACGUUGAUUUAUUAUGGAAGUUGAAAAAUGGGGUUUCUUGUUGGGGUUUUAACCUUGGUUUUGUUGUUUGAUAUCUUAAAUGUAGCGGCUAGGUUGAGGUAUUAUUGUGGGUGUUGAAACUGAACCCUACUGAAAGUUUGAU
rnacentral:lncRNA from 1 species